GAGUAUACUUAUACUCCCUGGGGAGAGUAUAGGGUGGUGUGGAAUCCAUGGAAAACUUUCUUCCCAAACUGAGCCGGAUCGUGCCCCCAAAUGUGCGACUACAGACUCGGGGAGAGAAAGGAGGUCUCUGAGAUGAGUGAGACUGAGGGUGUGCCCAGUACUGCCAUCCGAGAGAUCUCUCUGCUUAAGGAGCUUAACCAUCCUAAUAUUGUCAAGCUGCUGGAUGUCAUUCACACAGAAAAUAAACUCUACCUGGUUUUUGAAUUUCUGCACCAAGAUCUCAAGAAAUUCAUGGAUGCCUCUGCUCUCACUGGCAUUCCUCUUCCCCUCAUCAAGAGCUAUCUGUUCCAGCUGCUCCAGGGCCUAGCUUUCUGCCAUUCUCAUCGGGUCCUCCACCGAGACCUUAAACCUCAGAAUCUGCUUAUUAACACAGAGGGGGCCAUCAAGCUAGCAGACUUUGGACUAGCCAGAGCUUUUGGAGUCCCUGUUCGUACUUACACCCAUGAGGUGGUGACCCUGUGGUACCGAGCUCCUGAAAUCCUCCUGGGCUGCAAAUAUUAUUCCACAGCUGUGGACAUCUGGAGCCUGGGCUGCAUCUUUGCUGAGAUGGUGACUCGCCGGGCCCUAUUCCCUGGAGAUUCUGAGAUUGACCAGCUCUUCCGGAU
rnacentral:sRNA from 1 species